rnacentral:lncRNA from 1 species
UUUUUUUUAAUUUCAGAUUUUAAGUUUUGGAUUUAUGGGGCUUUAUUCAUAAAAAAGGGGGGAUUUUCAACACGUCGGACAAUAACUCAAAAAGGCUUUCACCAAUGUCCAUGAAACUUUGGUGAAUUGUUUAUAUCUAUUGAUGUAAGCUCCCUUUCGUUUUUUUUUAAUUUCAGAUUUUAAGUUUUGGAUUUAUGGGGCUUUAUUCAUAAAAAAAGGGGGAUUUUUAACACUUCGGAC